UUUGGCUUUACCACGAGUUAUAAGUGUGACCAAGUCUUGGAGGAAGGCCUUCUCUCCACACCUCUUUGAGCCCUGGAGAUUUACUGCUCUGAAAAUUUUUGGGUGGGGCCACCUUUGGUUUGGAAAAAUUGCACUGGAUGGAAUUAAACAGACCAGGAAGUCUUUAUUGAAAACCAUCAUAAAAUGGGAGAGAGGCUGAACUCAACUCUACUGAGACAACAGGAUUUUGUGUCAAUGUAUCUACCAUGUCAAAACACAAGAAUGUAAACUUCAAGAGCCCCAGAAGUUCACACUGCAGUAUCGUUGCCCAAGUCUCAACAGAAGUUUGAGGAUCCCAGUACCCUAAAGCUGGAGGCAAUCCUCAGGAUCAUAUUGCUUAAAACCUCCUGUCAAAGAUGGCUGGAUCAAGGUUAACAAGGAGCAGAGAAAGUGAUACAGUUGAGACAGGAAGAGAGAGAGGGUGAGCCAGAGCUGGAGAGGAAGACGGAAGAAACACAGCAGAGACGUGGGGGGAGCCCGUCCACCAUCCUGCUCCAGUUCGCCAGGCCCGUCCGCCACUCUGCUCUUACCUUGGUCUGCUGGCCACUCCUUUCUUGGUGUGAGACUGUGGAGAAAGUGAAGGUUCCUGCGGCCAGGAUUCUCACCUGGCCCUGGUUGGCUCACUCACUACACACAUGUCGGCAAUGCGUCGUUAUUGACUCUAUAUAAAGAGCCCCGCCCAGUGCUCUGGGCGACAUGGUGGCAGGGCUACAAGGCUGCAGGAGAGCAGAGGCUGGAGUGGUGGCAGCGCCGAGGACAGAGACUGGGAUGGCUGUGCCGGCAGAGAGGCCCAGAGGAAGGCUGUGCGGGCAGAGAGGCCCAGAGGCAGAGACCGGCUUGCUGCACGCAGACUCGCUCUGAGUGAGUGGGAUUUUAGUGAUUGACCUGCCACUGUGGAAAUAA